UACGAAGGGGGCUAGCGUUGCUCGGAAUCACUGGGCGUAAAGGGCGCGUAGGCGGCCGUUCAAGUCGGGGGUGAAAGCCUGUGGCUCAACCACAGAAUGGCCUUCGAUACUGGACGGCUCGAGACCGGAAGAGGUCAGUGGAACUGCGAGUGUAGAGGUGAAAUUCGUAGAUAUUCGCAAGAACACCAGUGGCGAAGGCGGCUCUCUAGUACGGUACUGACGCUGAGACGCGAAAGCGUGGGGAGCGAACAGG
rnacentral:rRNA from 1 species